rnacentral:rRNA from 1 species
GACGAACGCUGGCGGCGUGCCUAAUACAUGCAAGUCGAACGCAGUGGGGACGGGUGAUUAACACGUGGGUAACCUCCCAUCAGAGGGGAUAACACUUGGCAACAGGUGCUAAACUGAUACUGAUGGAUGGACCCGCGGGGCAUUAGCGAGUGGGUGAGGUAACGGCUCACCAAGGCCACGAGGCAUAGCCGGCCUGAGAGGGUGAUCGGCCACACGGGGACUGAGACACGGCCCAGACUCCUACGGGAGGCAGCAGUAGGGAAUCUUCGGCAAUGGGCGAAAGUCUGACCGAGCAACGCCGCGUGAGUGAAGAAGGUUUUCGGGUCGUAAAGCUCUGUUGGUAGAGAAGCGGUAUCUAACGAAAAAGCAACGGCUAACUACGUGCCAGCAGCCGCGGUAAUUC